CAACUACUCCCUCUGUCCCAAAUUUCUUGUCUUAGAUUUGUCUAGAUACAGAUGUAUCUAAUACUAAAAUGUGACUUGAUACAUCUGUAUCUAGACAAAUCUAAUACAAGAAUUUUGGGACGGAGGGAGUACUUU
rnacentral:pre_miRNA from 1 species